CAGCGUGCAUCCUUGCACAUACAUACUGAUCCAUCAUUUCAGGUUGGGGUGUAACAUUUAUGAUCUGUCUGGAGAAGAACAGAGAAGGUUUAGGACUAUUACUUAAGAGAGAAGGUGUGAUGCAACAGAGAAAGUAGAACAAGAUCCAAGAGACUGACUCAGGCUAUGAAUCAGCUACGUAAGUUCCAUGAAAGGGCUAUGUCUUC
rnacentral:lncRNA from 1 species